rnacentral:lncRNA from 1 species
CUGGCUGCUUCCCACAUACCCAAGACAGCACAAUGUGUUCCCUGCCUGCAGAACCCUCUGGGUCAGAAGUUUGUGAAUUAGAGCCUUAGAAGGUGAAUAUACAAUCAAGACUGAUGGCUGAUGUUUAAGGCUCACUGGGAGAGAAGAGUGCUGUAGAGAUUACAUCCCAGAAUGGAAUUCUAGCUUCAGCCUAUGGAAAGACCUGGAGGACACGUGGGCUUCUACACUCUGUGUCAAGCAAGACCUGUGCCUACUUUCACUGUGCAUGAGGAUUGUCCUGGGCCUCACAUAGGUGGUAACCUGGGCAGCCUGGCUUUCUGGAAGUAAAAGUAGAUGAACAGAAGACAAGACAGUCUCCUGGAAGUUGGUGAUUUGCCACCCAACUUCACUCACCCCCUUACCUUGAAUUCAAUACUUCAUCCUGCUGAAAGCAGACCUCAAAUCACUUCUGUGGCUUUCUUCUGAGCGGACUCCAGUUUCUACCUCCCCCAGUAAGUGCAGAUUUCAGAGCAGGGCCCUGCACUCAGGGGGGAGUUUGCUCAGGUUGUGUGGCUGGGAAGGGGAGGUGAGGAUGGAGUGGUGAAUAAUGACAGCAGUCACUUGUUCCUACUCAAACGAGAUGUGAAAGGCAAGAGGAGUCAGUAGACUUUGCAUAACAGAAGUCAGAACUUUUUUCCACCUCCUCAUUUUUCUAUCAGAGUUUCUUAAACAAUAGUGCAUACAUCGGUGAGC